GAUCACUUUGAAGAAUGUGUACGACAGUGUAAAUACACUCAGAACAUUUUCCUUAUAUAAUUCUCUUCUAAAUUUUCCUAGUUCAAAUCCUGACAAUGACCAGGAGUCCAAGAGAGAAAUGGGAAAAGUAAUGAUGCUUGAAUAUGUUUUCCAGGAUUUUUUUUCCAUCAGUGCGAGGGAGUCAAAGCGAACACUGCCAGCUGCGAAAGUGCCACCAAAACAGCUGCUUCACUUUGGGUCUUGCUAGGAUGGAGGAACGAGAAAGAAGUAGAAAAGAAAGGAGUGGAAACGCACAAAAUGUGUUCUGUGCAAAACAAAACACAAAACUUGAACGGGUACAGGUGUGAAAUAUUCGCUUUUGGAAGUCCUGAGCUUGUCCUUACAUCACACAACACAGACGCGGUACAGAGGACGAUUUAUACAGAGUAAGGAGUGGAAAGAAUGAGAAGAAUCCAGUAUGUCUUAAGGGUGUGCUUUUAAUAUACAGAAUCCUGAGUGCUGAUAUUACCUUACAUGACCUUCUGGAGUCAGGUGCGCAGAAUUCCGCUUACUUCCAUUUGACCUCUGUGUUUUGUUUUGUUUUUUAAAGCUGUGGGAUCUUCUAAUUCUCUUCAAACACUACAAUUACUGCCUGGUUUAAUUUGAUUUGUCAUUAAUAGCUGAAACCAAAAGAGCACGAAAGACAUCAGCAAAGCCGAGCCUCCUUCAGCCGAGCGUGUGUCGCCCGCCCUGGUGAUUUACACACGCUCUUCGUACAUGCACUCACGCAACACAAAGAGCCACACAUGUUCGAGGGGCCCUGCAAGAAAGAACCAGACGAUAUGAUCUCUACCAUGGAGAUUAAGAACGGCAUUGAACUUCUUGAAGAUAGCCUCGUUCGAAAACAAUGCUCUUCCUCCUUCUUGUGUAAGUUUUGAGUUGAAGAAGUGAUAUAACUACACAGAAAAAUUUUGUUCUGUAUAUAAAGUCUAAGAAGCGCUUUGCUUGCACAGCUGAUGAAGGGAUUUUCUUUGUGUA